GCAGGCGCGCAAAUUACCCAAUCCCGACUCGGGGAGGUAGUGACAAUAAAUACUGAUACAGGGCUCUUUUGGGUCUUGUAAUUGGAAUGAGUACAAUUUAAAUCCCUUAACGAGGAACAAUUGGAGGGCAAGUCUGGUGCCAGCAGCCGCGGUAAUUCCAGCUCCAAUAGCGUAUAUUAAAGUUGUUGUGGUUAAAAAGCUCGUAGUUGAACCUUGGGCCUGGCUGGCCGGUCCGCCUCACCGCGUGUACUGGUCCGGCCGGGCCUUUCCCUCUGUGGAACCCCAUGCCCUUCACUGGGUGUGGCGGGGAAACAGGACUUUUACUUUGAAAAAAUUAGAGUGCUCCAGGCAGGCCUAUGCUCGAAUACAUUAGCAUGGAAUAAUAGAAUAGGACGUGUGGUUCUAUUUUGUUGGUUUCUAGGACCGCCGUAAUGAUUAAUAGGGACAGUCGGGGGCAUCAGUAUUCAAUUGUCAGAGGUGAAAUUCUUGGAUUUAUUGAAGACUAACUACUGCGAAAGCAUUUGCCAAGGAUGUUUUCAUUAAUCAGGAACGAAAGUUAGGGGAUCGAAGACGAUCAGAUACCGUCGUAGUCUUAACCAUAAACUAUGCCGACUAGGGAUCGGACGAUGUUAUUUUUUUGACUCGUUCGGCACCUUACGAGAAAUCAAAGUGCUUGGGCU
rnacentral:rRNA from 1 species